rnacentral:rRNA from 1 species
UACGUAGGUGGCGAGCGUUGUCCGGAAUUACUGGGCGUAAAGAGCGCGUAGGCGGUUUUUUAAGUCAGAUGUGAAAAUCCAGGGCUUAACUCUGGGCGUGCAUUUGAAACUGGGGAACUAGAGUGCAGGAGAGGUAAGUGGAAUUCCUAGUGUAGCGGUGAAAUGCGUAGAUAUUAGGAGGAACACCAGUGGCGAAGGCGACUUACUGGACUGUAACUGACGCUGAGGCGCGAAAGCGUGGGUAGCGAAC